UAACAGGGAUUCCCCUAGUAACUGCGAGUGAAGCGGGAAAAGCUCAAAUUUAAAAUCUGGUGGUCUUUGGCCAUCCGAGUUGUAAUUUAGAGAAGCGUCUUCCGCGCUGGACCGUGCACAAGUCUCCUGGAAUGGAGCGUCAUAGAGGGUGAGAAUCCCGUCUUUGGCACGGAUGUACCAGGGCUUUUGUGAUGCGCUCUCGAAGAGUCGAGUUGUUUGGGAAUGCAGCUCAAAAUGGGUGGUGAACUCCAUCUAAAGCUAAAUAUUGGCGAGAGACCGAUAGCGAACAAGUACCGUGAGGGAAAGAUGAAAAGCACUUUGGAAAGAGAGUGAAACAGUACGUGAAAUUGUUGAAAGGGAAACGCUUGAAGUCAGUCGCGUCGACCGAGACUCAGCCUUGCCUCGGCUUGGUGUACUUCUCGGCUGACGGGUCAGCAUCAAUUUUGCCCCUUGGAUAAUGGCGAGGGAAAUGUGACACCUUUACGGUGUGUUAUAGUCUUUCGUCGCAUGCAAGGGUCGGGAUUGAGGAACUCAGCACGCGCCCUCGGGCGUCGGGGUUUUUGCCCACGAUACGUGCUUAGGAUGUUGGCGUAAUGGCUUUAAACGACCCGUCUUGAAACACGGACCAAGGAGUCUAACAUGCCUGCGAGUGUUCGGGUGGAAAACCCGUGCGCGCAAUGAAAGUGAAAGUUGGGACCUCUGUCGUGGAGGGCACCGACGCCCGGACCAGACCUUUUGUGACGGCUCUGCGGUAGAGCAUGUAUGUUAGGACCCGAAAGAUGGUGAACUAUGCCUGAAUAGGGUGAAGCCAGAGGAAACUCUGGUGGAGGCUCGUAGCGAUUCUGACGUGCAAAUCGAUCGUCAAAUUUGGGUAUAGGGGCGAAAG
rnacentral:rRNA from 1 species